rnacentral:rRNA from 1 species
AAGUUUCAACAACGGAUCUCUUGGCUCUCGCAUCGAUGAAGAACGCAGCGAAAUGCGAUAAGUAAUGUGAAUUGCAGAAUUCAGUGAAUCAUUGAAUCUUUGAACGCACCUUGCGCUCCUUGGUAUUCCUUGGAGCAUGCCUGUUUGAGUAUCAU